ensembl:antisense Prss23os protease, serine 23, opposite strand
GGUCAUUGUCAUAACCAGAGAAGUGGAUCCUGCCCCCUGGGAGCUGCUUCGCUGGAGGACUCACACCAAUCUUCAUGAACUGUCUUUUGUGGGGUUUCUUGAGUUCCAGCAGGGCGUAGUCAUAAUCCAUGCCGAUGUCAUUGGCAUUGCCCUUGAUCCACCCCUUGGGCACAUGGGUGCGUUUCACGCGGAUCCACUGAAACUUCAUCUUGUCUGGCAUGGCUGAGCUCGAGCUGUUGUCCCCUCCGGCACCAUCUUUAUACUUGGGCUUCAGGAAGCCCACUCGGAGUUUCUGUGUCCCUUUCACAUAGGUUUUCCCAUCGUGUAUGCAGUGGGCAGCAGUGAGGACGUGCUUCUCUGCCACCAGGGUGCCAGUGCAGCCAGUAGACAACUUCACCGAUGUUGAGAAAGGAUAAUUGAGCAGGAAGUCCUUCCCAAAAAUGCUAAACCUGCCAUCGUAGCCAUAAAUCUGCCUCUUCCUGCGAGAUCUCCCUGUGGCCUCCGAGUCUCUGCCUCGUGCCCUGCCUUCACCAUUGCUGAGGAUGUAGAUGCCCACCCGAGUCUCUGUGCGGCUGCCAUUGGCAUAAAGGGUUUCAUAGGAAAGGUACUGCUUGGCCUCUUCGUAGGUGGGCAGUGGUGUUCCCUUGUGACACUGAGGUCCACAUGAGGAGGACACCUCCAAUUUCGCUUUGGCGUCGAAGUCUGCCUUAGCUAAGUUGAGGGUAGACUGAGGCAAGACUACAGGGAGGCGAUAAGCCGGCCAUGUGGGUUUCCACGGAACGGUGUAGGGACUCACCUGCAUGAACACACAGAGCAGGACAAGAAGGAUGAAGAGCCCCGGGAUUCCAGCCAUGCUGAGUGCUACUGUAGAAACAAAGACAAGAAGUCAGGAGGAUGAAAGCUAUACAGUUCAUUUACUGCAGCCUGGCAGGGCACAGCCGCACGCUGGUCAUGUUUCUAAGACUGGGAACAUUCCUCAGGUUCCAAGCGAGAGCCUCCCUCAGGUAAUGGUCUCACUUACAUGCAAGGACUUGCUUGACCUUAGGAUCAUUUCCACACCUCAAAUCCAAAUGAAGCUAUUCCCCACCCCCUUCAUGAUGAAGAAGUAAAGACCAUGGGACAUUACAGGGCCACAUCUAGAAAAUUUACCACUAUUCUGUGAACAUAUGGCCAGCUCUCAUUUUUAUGAGAUUUUUGAAUGUUCUUUUAACUUGAUUCUAUAUACCUUGUCCUCUCCUGUCUAGCUACCCACCCACCCUUGGCCCCUUUCCUUCCUUGUUAUCUUAUUCUAUUACAGUAAGUUCUUACAUAAUUUUCUGGGCAACAUGCUCACUUAGAUAAUAAAUCUAAAGCAGACACUUU